rnacentral:rRNA from 1 species
AAUAACUAUGAUUCCCUUAGUAACGGCGAGUGAACAGGGAAAAGCCCAAAUUUGUAAUCUGGCACUUUUUACAAGUGUCCGAGUUGUAAUUUGUAGAACUGUUAUCCGCGCUGGACCAUGUACAAGUCUGUUGAAAAGCAGCAUCAUUGAAGGUGAAAAUCCUGUAGAUGAUAUGGACUACCAGUGCAUUUGUGAUACGGUUUCUAAGAGUCGAGUUGUUUGGGAAUGCAGCUCAAAGUGGGUGGUAAAUUCCAUCUAAGGCUAAAUAUAAGUGAGAGACCGAUAGCAAACAAGUACCGUGAGGGAAAGAUGAAAAGAACUUUGAAAAUAGAGUUAACAGUACGUGAAAUUGCUGAAAGGGAAACGUUUGAAGUUAGUUUUGUAUUCGUUGGAUCAGCUUCGCAAGGAGUGUAUUCUGAUGAUAAGCAAGUCAACAUCAAUCUAUGAGUGUCGGAGAAGGGUUUUGAGAAUGUAGCAAUUUUUAUUAAUUGUGUUAUAGCUUGAGACUUGGAUACGAUGCUUUGGAUUGAGGAACGCGUAGUAAGCUUUGAGCGGAUUCGAAAGGAUCUCCUUACUAUGGAUGUUGGUGAAAUAACUUUAAGCGACCCGUCUUGAAACACGGACCAAGGAGUCUAACAUGCUUGCGAGUAUUAGGGUGUUGAAACCCGAAUGCGUAAUGAAAGUGAAUUUCAGAUGUGAUCCGCAAGGUGCAACAUCGACCAGUCUGGAUCAUUUAUGUGAAGGUACUGAGUAAGAGCAAGUAUGUUAGGACCCGAAAGAUGGUGAACUAUGCCUGGAUAGGGUGAAGUCAGAGGAAACUCUGAUGGAAGCUCGUAGCGGUUCUGACGUGCAAAUCGAUCGUAGAAUCUGGGUAUAGGGGCGAAAGACU